AAAAGAAAAAAAAGAAAGUAAAUAAAAAUGCAGUAAAAGAGUACUUAUUCCAUACGCUGAUGCAUUCCUCACGAGCCACAUCUUCAUUCUCGUUUGAACCUGACGACCUCAGCAUCAACUCUCGAGCUUUCUCUCUCGAGCAUCAUUCCUUCCGCGAGAGCUUCUCCUUCUCGAGACCACAGCUUCAUCAUCCAUUCACUAUUUCCUCAUCACAGAACCCUAAUCCAUCCAUUUCCACCGGUUAGUUCUUCGAUCCAUGCCUUUAGUUAGGGUUUCUGCCUCCUCACACCUUUUCCGCCAUUUUUGAUCGAUUAAACCUCCUCUCACCGUUUAAUCUUCACUUCCCACCGAUUAAACACCAUUUCUCACCGAUUAAUCUGUACAUUUAAGGUUUCCUCCGCCAAUUAGGGUUUUUCCCUUCGCGCCUUGGGUUUUCUAUUUCUCUGCUUCUUUCCGCUGCCUCGUCUGCUUCAUCUAUUUUUUCCGCUGCGAUCGAGGAGUCCAAUUCGCUCAAGUUCCGUCUUCUCCUCGGAGCACCGUCUAUCAAAGGGCAUAACUAGGUAGAAGUGGUUGCAUCGUGAAGAAGAGCACGUUUUCAGGGUGGUGGCGAAGGGUCUCUUAAGGUCAAAGAAUGUCCGAGUGCAUGCAGCAAUCGUUGUUCAAAGACUAAAAGUCGAAAAAGGUUUAUGCACUACUGUUUUAGGUGUAUGCACUACUGUUACAUAUGUUGUGAGGAAUGUUUGUGUUCCCUCUGGAACCUUUGGCAACAACAAGCAAGAAUGUCCUUGUUACAACAAUUUCAAACCAGAGUGUCCUUAAUCUUCAUCCACAAAUAAUAUUGAAUUUGCUUGGUAGACCACACCACGAGAAAUGAAUUCAUAUUCAUGCUCUUUU